GAUACAGCGAAAGCGUUAAGUAAUCCACCUGGGGAGUACGCCGGCAACGGUGAAACUCAAAGGAAUUGACGGGGGCCCGCACAAGCGGAGGAACAUGUGGUUUAAUUCGAUGAUACGCGAGGAACCUUACCCGGGCUCAAACGUAAAAGGAAUACAGGUGAAAGUCUGUAGCCCUCCGGGGUCUUUUACGAGGUGCUGCAUGGUUGUCGUCAGCUCGUGUCGUGAGAUGUUGGGUAAAGUCCCGCAACGAGCGCAACCCUUGCCGUCAGUAGCCAGCAGGUGAAGCUGGGCACUCUGGCGGGACAGCCGGGGAUAACCCGGAGGAAGGCGGGGAUGACGUCAAAUCAUCAUGCCCCUUAUGAUUUGGGCUACACACGUGCUACAAAGGCGUAAACAGAGGGAGGCGAAGCCGAGAGGAGGAGCAAAUCCCAGAAAUAACGUCCCAGUUCGGAUUGUAGUCUGCAACUCGACUACAUGAAGCUGGAAUCGCUAGUAAUCGCGAAUCAGAAUGUCGCGGUGAAUACGUUACCGGGUCUUGCACUCACCGCCCGUCAAG
rnacentral:rRNA from 1 species